AGUCCAAUAGAAAGGACUCUGCACUCCCAAUGCAGGGGGCCUGGGUUCGAUCCCUG
rnacentral:tRNA from 1 species